rnacentral:rRNA from 1 species
AUUGAACGCUGGCGGCAGGCUGAUCAUAUGCAAGUCGAACGAGUGGCGGACGGGUGAGUAAUGCUUGGGAAUCUAGCUCAUGGAGGGGGAUAACUACGGGAAACUGUAGCUAAUACCUCGUACCAUAGGAUGAGACCAAGUGGGAUUAGGUAGUUGGUGAGGUAUAUGCGCACCAAGCCGACGAUCUCUAGCUGGUCUGAGAGGAUGACCCGCCCCACGGCAGAUGAGUCACGGCGCAGACUCCUACGGGCGUGAGCAGUGGGGCAUGAUGCGCAACGGGGGAAGACUGACACAGCCAUGCCGCGCCGAUGUAGCAGUCAUACAGGUUGUAAAGUUCUUUCGGUAGCGAGGCGUUCACUUCAGAACCUGCACCGGCUAACUCCGUGCCAGCAGCCGCGGUAAUAC